GUGGCUAUUUGGCCAUAUGUUCCUUACUGGAUAGUAUAGUGUUAUAGGAUGGGUGGAAAAUUCCAAGUGUAUCUCUCAGUCAUUAGGAUCCCCACAGGCUUUUGCCAGACAGGCAUAAGACCUAGUAUAGCCUGUCUGAGGCCUUAUCUAGGUUCCCUUGUGGGCUAACUGAGCACCUGGCUGCCCUCUAGCCUCCUGAUCUUAAUUCUUUCAACUUCUAUGACAUCGACCAGUAACAAUGUGUAUACUUGGUUGUAGCUUAGACAUCUGCUUUCAAGUGUUUUGCUUUCUGUUAUAGAGUGAAAUUUGUCAUAUUGACAUCCUAGAGAACACUGGUCCAUUUUCUUGAUGAUAUGUUAAUUGGACCUGACAAGUAGAAAAUAAUAAGCAUUCUCUAAGACUUAAUAAAGCACAUGCACACCAGAGGAUGUGAAAUAAACCUUUUAAAAAAUUCAAGGGCCAGCGACAUUAGUUACGUUUUGAGGGCCUGGUAGUAGUCUGGUGCAAAUUGCACAAGUUACAGAGAAGAACAAACCUGACUCCAUACUGGAUCUAUUCCUUUACCUCUAACUUUUGUGCUCUGUUGCCUGUGCUUAGUCAUGCUGGCUCUGCACCUUUGUCUAAAAGAAUGUUGCCUAUAACCUGAAAUGUACAUGAUAGCCCAUUUUCAAGACUCUGCCUCCCAGGCUUGACCUUUAAAGGUAUAAUACUUUUCAUUUAUAUGGAGAUAGAAAGUUGCAGAAAAGAAUAACAUUUGUCUUGUUGGAGGUUUACAGGAACAUGGUGACCAGACCUAUGUGGAUAGCUGCAAGAACAAAGGAUUAUCAUGUACCUUCCGGGGUCUGGUCUGCACCAAGAAGUCUGCAACAACCAGCCAUACUCCCUCCCCUUUUAAUAUAAAAGAAGUCUGAAUUCUAACUCGGGAAAAUAAGAAAUCCUCAGGACUUCCCUGGUGGCGCAGGGGUUAAGAAUCUGCCUGCCAGUGCAGGGGACGCGGGUUCGAGCCCUGGUCUGGAAGAUCCCACAUGCUCUGGAGCAACUAAACCCGUGUGCCACAACUACUGAGCCCACGUGCAACAAUUACUGAAGCCUACACGCCUAGAGCCCAUGCUCCGCAACAAGAGAAGCCACUGCAAUGAGAAGCCCGUGCACCACAACUAAGAAUAGCCCCCACUCACCACAAUUAGAGAAUGCCAGCCCACAGCAACAAAGACCCAACGCAGCCAAAAAUAAAUAAAAUAAAUAAAUUAAAAAAAAAAAAGAAAUUC